AGAUUAUUAUCUAGCAGUAACAGCCAUUUAAAGAAGUAACUACCAGAAGAAACAAAUAACUAAAAGGAUUGUCUGUGGAGAUGUGAAUGGGGACAGAAGAAAUUCAUUAAGACCCUUUACUUUCUUUAAAGUGCAAGUAUUUUGAUAUCUAACCGGAUGUCUCAAUUAACAGAAGAGUCACGUCUAGGAAGGAUGUUUGAAAUGUUACAUUAGGAGGCUGACAGCUGUUCCUUCCUGAGGUUUGGAGGUGAGAAUUAUUGACAUAACCCCAGUAUCAUGGAGCACUCCUCUCUGCAAGUGUAAAGUGCUGUGUGUUGUUUGAAGAACACUGCAUGUGCUAUCUUCCUCAGUACUAUUCUGAUGCUUAUUUCUGAAGAAUGAAUGAGGGUGUAUUUCCUGUGUGCCUUGUAGGGGUUUCUGUUUCAUCUUCCUUCUCAUUGACUGGAAUAUUAGACUAUGACCUCCUGUUCUUGCCUUUUUAGCACAUCCCGCAUUUUCUCAGAUGUUCUCUUUUUGCCCUUUCGUGAUGACCUGCCUAAGACUUGCAUACAGUUUGGAAUGGAAUGCCUGGGCUCAAAGGCUACAGCCCACAGGUCAGCAUCUGACAUUUUCAUGCACACCGUGUACAGCUCCCUGUGUGGUGGAAUGUGUCAUGUCAGAACAUGAAGAUCUGUGACAAGGCCUGGCAAUGGCUUUGACAGAGAAACUUCUCAGAAAAACUUGCCUGUCUUUUUCUAAUGAGGAAAUCCCAAAAAGAGAAGCUGAAACUUUCCUGUUGUAGAAGGGUAAUAAGUAAGCUGUGGAGAAAAUUGGACAAAUGCAGAAAUCUAUAUAAAGCAAGUGUGACUUUUUCCCGGGAGAAGAUCUUGCCAGAAAACAUGGUGGUCGUAUCAUAUCUGAUUGACUGGUGCAAAACAUGGACUAGGUAAGAAUGGGUACCAGGAAUUUCCUAGAGGACUUAUGGUGGGGCUACAGCUUGACUGCUAAGUCUCCCCGCUGGUUCCUGCUUAUGUGCUUGUAAGGGUCACUCGCAGGGAGAGCCUGGGGCAUGCACAGCUUGUUUUCCUCUCCUCCCUUGCUCAUGACUAUGUUUAGCUCCCAAGCAGGAAGAGGCUGAAUAGCUGUAAGAAAAUCUAAGAGAUUUGUUUGUAUGUCCCUGCCAUCAGAGGAUGGAGUCUUAGAUAAUGGGACUACAAAACGACAUAAUUAAUUUUCCAUCAACUUUUUCCAAGGACUUUCAAAUUUAUUUUAUGUCCUAAAUUUAUUCACCUUCACUGCCAUUCUGUUUUCAGAUUUUCUGUCCAAUCAUGGUACAGUAGCAAAAGUGCCAAACUUGGACUCAAUAAACUAGUUUUAUAUGAUUUGGGGCAUGUCAUUUUUAUCAGUCGUGAUAUUUUAAUGGAUAAAAUGAGAAUCAUGAAACACACGCCUAUGCUAUGAGCACCGAGUGGGUAUGAUUAUGAAAGCAUUUUGUACAUUGUAAAGGGUUAAACAUAUGUUGGUUAUUUAUUUGUUUUAUUUUGACUUGAGUGAAGAAGGUUUAUUCUGGAUUAUUUAUUAAAUGCUAGGGGAGAUGUAGAAAUGAAAGUACCAAAAACAAUCAAUGCCCCAAGUUUCUUUAAUUGUUGGAAGGGCAGACUAUAUCUUUAGGAAACUAUCCUAUAUACUUUUAUGUGCAUAUAUAUCACCUGGAGGAUUUUCUUAAAAUGCAGAUUUUGAUUCAGUAAAUUUGGUGGAGUCUGAGAGACUGCAUUUCUAAAAGCUCCCAGGUGAAGUCUGUAGAGCCAGUCCAUACUCUACAUUGAGUUGCAAUGGAUGAAAGAGAAUGAGGUAAAGCGGAAAGGUAAUACAGGUGAAAAGAGUGAUCAAGACUGAGCUUUCCUGUCGGUUGUCCCUUUAUCUUGAAACCAUACUGGUGAAAUGACUACAUAUAGAAUAACAGUUGUUAAGUAAUCUUCCUGCUGAUAUUGUAUCUUGAUAUAGUUUGUUGUUCUUAAGCGAGUGCCAUUCUUGGGGAGUAAAUCUAGAGCAAGAGAUAGAUAGCACUAAUUGUGGGCUUGGAACAUGACAGCCCUGCCCAUGAUUUGCUGUAAACAUGGUAGGAAACUAGGGAAAUUCGGUUUGUAAAAGAAGUGUCUGUAUUCUGCCAACUGAGGAGUGAUCUGACAAUGAUAAAAUCAUUAGCCUCUAUGACCUUAGCUGUAUUUAAAGAGUAUUCUCUUGGGACACCUAAUAUAAUAUGUCUUGAUUGGACAUUGUGAACUAGCAUUCUUAUUCACAUUUAGAACCAAAUGACUUCCUUCUGGCAUUUUUACAGUGAUUUGGUAGCCUGCCAUGAUAUUAUGCAUUGUUCAGAAUAAUUUUCCAUGUUGCUGAGGUUCAUUUCCCUGAUUUAUAGCUAUUUGUAAAAGUUGGCUCUCAAAUGUCAAGAAGAAAAUAACUUUAUAAUAAAUUACUCCAAACGAAGAGGAGAUGCUGAAAUUCUUGAAAUUCUGCUGUAAUUCUGUAAAGGUAUAGGGUUAUAAUACACAGCUCUUGGUGACUCAAUUCUAAUGGGCAACUGUUACACUUUAAUUUUUAUAGAUACAGUAGUGUCUCGGCUUUUUGUUAGCUACCAAAAUAACCACAUCUGAAAAUGUGCUGCUGUGGUUUGUAACAAAGCUACACAGGCAUAAACUUUGUUGAGGCACCAUUCUCUAAGAUUUGCUGCUUACUGAAUCACCCCUCUUGGAUUGGCAGCAUCUUGAUUAAAAUGAUCAAUAGGGGAACAGAUAGUGAAAUAUCUACUAAUAAUAUUAACUGAUGAGAUCCUUUAGCUCAAUAUUUUGAGCUCACUUUGUUGAGUGUAUCUCACCUACACAAUGAGAAUUCUACCCUAGUGUUAUGUUUAGUUUAUUGUAGAGUUUUAAAAAGCAUUACUAUGGAGAAUAUAAGAAAACAAAAAUACUCAAUAGUUUGGUUCUAUUAUUAAUUUCCUGUAUCCUUUAAAAGGAAUUCUUGAGGCUCUUAGCUGAGUGUAGCUGAGGUCUGUGAAAUGAUGCAGUCUAUAUCCAAGUUGGUAGUUGUUGCUGGCGUGCAAAUCUGUUUCACAUUCAACCUUAGCCAUUAUUGCUCUGUAAUGAUCCCAUCUAUGUACUGGGAAUUUUAACAGUUAUAGUGAAUUCUUAGUUUCUCAGUUUCUAAUUGCUCAAAAGUCUAAUACUGAGUCUUCACCAAAUAUAUUUCUCUAGGUUUAGUUUUCUGCACUGAACUGAAGACUGUCUUAUGCCUCCAAAAUGCACUGCAGAGUGUCUGCCAACAAUUGUUCACUAGCUGUGAAUGUUUGUUCCUUUUCAAUGCUUCAUCUAAUUCCAGGUGCCAGUGACUUUGCUACCACUCUAAAUGUGGUUAAAAAGAACAACUUUCAAAUUGAUUGUAAGUGGAAAUAAUAGGUCUUUAUAAUUUGUCUAUAAUAUAAAGGACUCUAGAUAAAACCGUUAAAUCUCUCCCAUGACUUACGUAUAAAGUGCUGCUUUCAUUUCACAAGGAAAUUAUUGAUUUCAAUUAGUUCUCUUUAUACUAGAAAUCAUCUGGUAUUAAUUUAAAAAUUUUUGAGAUGUCUGUGGAAUAAGCAAAUGAGACAACAAAAAGCUAUGUUUUAAAAAAUAAAACUUUCUGAUAUAUACAAAAUUAAUAUUCUUUUGGGGAAAAUUCAAAAUAUAGAAAAUUAUUGCUUAAGUCCCUGCAAAAUUCUAUCACCCAGAGAUAAACAUAGUUAACAUUUCUUUUUGUGAGCAUUCUCUAGAGAUAAUGCUUUUUUUCAUAUUCUUGGGCAAGUUAUUCAGUCUUUCACUGUGUAAGCAUAUUUUUCCUCUUCUAUAAAAUGGGAAUAAAAAUGAUACUUGUCACCUAGGGUUGGAGAUUUAAUGAGUUAAUAUGUAUAAAAUGUGUAACUUAGUACCUGAAAAUAGUUAAUAAAGAUUUACUGACAAGGCAUGGUGGCUCAUACCUGUAAUCCCAACCAACAUAUUGG
rnacentral:lncRNA from 1 species